rnacentral:lncRNA from 1 species
GGGAAACUUUUCCCCUCCAACGCGGCCAGGCCGUGGCUGCCGCCGGACCCGGCGGACCGCUACGCGACCGCAUCGUCACCCCACCAGCUGAUGGGCGUAGAACCAUCCCUUCCGCCCCGCAUUGCCGGAGGCCGGGGGCGGAAUGCGGCAGCGGCCGCGCUGGGCCGCGCAAACAUCCGCAGGGGAGGACGCGGCGCGGCGAAACCACGGAGCGGCGCAGCAGCGCGACCAGCGGAGAGUCCAUGAGACCCAGGUGCCUCCGCCGGCGCGGGUGGACCCAGCCGGGCCACCUGGCACCGCCCCUGCGAGCUCAUCUUCUUCAUUACAUGUUACGAUCACCUGGCCGGCCGACUCCCACCGUUCGGCGCCGCCUGUCACUUGGAGGGGAACAACAACAACCCCUCUGGGCAGCAAUCAGGGCAGGCCGGCGGCCGGACGGACCGUUACUAGGUCGAGUCGGCGGCACCAUCUACUUCCUCGUUCUGCUCUGCACUGUUCUGCUCUGCACUGUUCUGCUCUGUCCUGUUCUGCCCUGCCAUGUUCUGUGCGCUCUGUCCUGCGGGACUAGCCUUGCGUGCCGCGCCCGAGGCAAAUGCCAACCGCCGGAGGCGCGGUAUAUAAGCUGAGUCCCGCAGUGAUCUCUCUCUCUCUCUUCGCGCUCCUCGGGAGCUACGUGUUGGAGUCGACUGCCCGUGCGCGUUGUGCGUCCCUCAUACCUACGCACUGCAGCCAUGUAAGUACUAAGUAGAAGGGUGCGGCCCUUAUUGGGGCUUUGUAUAUAGCCGUGACCAGUGUAAUAAUGUGUGCGCAUGUAAAUAAUUACCUUGAAAACUUGCACAGUCUGUUGUGGGACAAAUGGUGGGGGAGAGAAUGAACGGCGAACUGAACUGAACGGCACCGAACUUGGCAAACGUAACAUAGAGCAGCUCGGAAGCUCAAACAAACGCUACCUUUUAAACGUCACGGUUAACUUCGGCACGCCACGCUACCAACAGUAAUCCCAACCGUAGCAAUGAUAGAAAUAAGGAACGUAACAACUUAUAGAGAGAAAAAAUAGUUUCACAGUGGUGACAGCGGUGGGAUUUAAAACUGACUUGUUUUAUUUUAAGCACGCCUAAGGCGAGCUAAUUAAUUUACCUAUUGUCGGUUCCGCUCCAAACAGGGCGGCGAACCCAACGUUUUUUUUUUUGCAAUAUAUUUCUUAGAUUGUGAUUUUGUUUUCCCUUUAAAUGUAAGUCAUGUAUGUAGGUAUCGGGCCGUUCAUGUUCGCAGUGGUUCAUCUCCCCCAGCUGUCCCGGCCAGUGGGCCAGGCGGGCGGCUCGGCCCUCGCGGUCAGUCACCGCGGGGUGCCAGCGCCGGCUCGCGGCGGUCCCGCGGCAAUUAGGCCCUGCCCUCCGCUCUGUCUGAUUGGUGUAGGGACGGAGGAUGGGCGUGGCCAAAUUGAGUGUGGGGCUGAGGGGUGCCUCUGAGGACAGUGUAUGUCCAGGUGUUCUUCCGCGUCAUUGCUGAGGGUUCUCGGGCCCAUUCGUGCAUUGUGCUGAAAGCAACGAAAUUUGAGAUCUACCCGGAGUUCGGAAUCGCUCUGUCAUCUAUAUUCAUCGGAGGGAUGUGGGAAACUUUUCCCCUCCAACGCGGCCAGGCCGUGGCUGCCGCCGGACCCGGCGGACCGCUACGCGACCGCAUCGUCACCCCACCAGCUGAUGGGCGUAGAACCAUCCCUUCCGCCCCGCAUUGCCGGAGGCCGGGGGCGGAAUGCGGCAGCGGCCGCGCUGGGCCGCGCAAACAUCCGCAGGGGAGGACGCGGCGCGGCGAAACCACGGAGCGGCGCAGCAGCGCGACCAGCGGAGAGUCCAUGAGACCCAGGUGCCUCCGCCGGCGCGGGUGGACCCAGCCGGGCCACCUGGCACCGCCCCUGCGAGCUCAUCUUCUUCAUUACAUGUUACGAUCACCUGGCCGGCCGACUCCCACCGUUCGGCGCCGCCUGUCACUUGGAGGGGAACAACAACAACCCCUCUGGGCAGCAAUCAGGGCAGGCCGGCGGCCGGACGGACCGUUACUAGGUCGAGUCGGCGGCACCAUCUACUUCCUCGUUCUGCUCUGCACUGUUCUGCUCUGCACUGUUCUGCUCUGUCCUGUUCUGCCCUGCCAUGUUCUGUGCGCUCUGUCCUGCGGGACUAGCCUUGCGUGCCGCGCCCGAGGCAAAUGCCAACCGCCGGAGGCGCGGUAUAUAAGCUGAGUCCCGCAGUGAUCUCUCUCUCUCUCUUCGCGCUCCUCGGGAGCUACGUGUUGGAGUCGACUGCCCGUGCGCGUUGUGCGUCCCUCAUACCUACGCACUGCAGCCAUGUAAGUACUAAGUAGAAGGGUGCGGCCCUUAUUGGGGCUUUGUAUAUAGCCGUGACCAGUGUAAUAAUGUGUGCGCAUGUAAAUAAUUACCUUGAAAACUUG